GUAUGGACUAUCAAUACAGGUACUGUAUGUAGAACCAUAGUAAAGACCAGUAUGGACUAUCAAUACAGAUACUGUAUGUAGAACCAUAGUAAAGACCAGUAUGGACUAUCAAUACAGACACUGUAUGUAGAACCAUAGUAAAGACCAGUAUGGACUAUCAAUACAGGUACUGUAUGUAGAACCAUAGUAAAGACCAGUAUGGACUAUCAAUACAGGUACUGUAUGUAGAACCAUAGUAAAGACCAGUAUGGACUAUCAAUACAGAUACUGUAUGUAGAACCAUAGUAAAGACCCGUAUGGACUAUCAAUACAGAUACUGUAUGUAGAACCAUAGUAAAGACCAGUAUGGACUAUCAAUACAGAUACUGUAUGUA